rnacentral:rRNA from 1 species
GAUGAACGCUAGCGGCAGGCUUAAUACAUGCAAGUCGGGGGGCAUCAAGGUACACGAAAGUGUAUUGUUGGCGACCGGCGGACGGGUGAGUAAUAGGUAGGUAACCUACCUCAUACUGAGGCAUAGCUGGGAGAAAUUCCAGGUAAUUCCUCAUGAGGUUAUAUGACACAUGUGAUAUAAUCAAAGGUAUCGCAAGGUACUGGUAUGAGAUGGGCUUACUGACCAUUAGCUAGUUGGUGAGAUAAGAGCUCACCAAGGCGAAGAUGGUUAGGGGUUUUGAGAGAGAGAUCCCCCACAUUGGAACUGAGAUACGGUCCAGACUCCUACGGGAGGCAGCAGUAGGGAAUAUUGGGCAAUGGGCGGAAGCCUGACCCAGCCAUGCCGCGUGAAGGACGAAGGCCUUCGGUUGUAAACUCUGUCUGGGGGAUGAGAACGGACGGUACCCCCGGACGGAAGCCCCGGCGUAACUACGUG